ACGGGUGAGUAACGCGUGGGAAUCUACCCAUCUCUACGGAAUAACGCAUGGAAACGUGUGCUAAUACCGUAUACGUCCUUCGGGAGAAAGAUUUAUCGGAGAUGGAUGAGCCCGCGUUGGAUUAGCUAGUUGGUGGGGUAAAGGCCUACCAAGGCGACGAUCCAUAGCUGGUCUGAGAGGAUGAUCAGCCACACUGGGACUGAGACACGGCCCAGACUCCUACGGGAGGCAGCAGUGGGGAAUAUUGGACAAUGGGCGCAAGCCUGAUCCAGCCAUGCCGCGUGAGUGAUGAAGGCCCUAGGGUUGUAAAGCUCUUUCACCGGUGAAGAUAAUGACGGUAACCGGAGACGAAGCCCCGGCUAACUUCGUGCCAGCAGCCGCGGUAAUACGAAGGGGGCUAGCGUUGUUCGGAUUUACUGGGCGUAAAGCGCACGUAGGCGGACUAUUAAGUCAGGGGUGAAAUCCCGGGGCUCAACCCCGGAACUGCCUUUGAUACUGGUAGUCUUGAGUUCGAGAGAGGUGAGUGGAAUUCCGAGUGUAGAGGUGAAAUUCGUAGA
rnacentral:rRNA from 1 species